AUUCCCGUGACCCUGAAGAGUGAGGUGGGCAUCAGAGCGGACGGAGACACUGAAGAGGGACUUCAGGAGCCUGAUCAAGACAGUGCGCAGCAUAUCGCCUGCAUGAUGAUCAUCGUGUCAGGACCACUUCCCACGUAUAGAUGAGGACAUGAAAGGCUUUUUAGAUCUCCUGUUGGACAACAUCUCCAGGACACUUCGCUCCAUAUGACUAGGCAGUUUGUGAAAAGAGAUAAUCAAGAGAAGUCAGUUCCAGAUCCACCCUCCACACCAGACCUCUCUCUCACGAGGAUUGCUGUCUACUAGCAUAUUGUGUUCUUCAGCUCUUCAGACUUCGGUGGAUGCAGAUAUUACUCAGGG